CGCAACUCUCGGAACAGGAGAAAAAAAAGGAAUAAUGAAGGUGUAUAUAUCUACAUAUGGGUAUGUGACAUGAGUUCAGAGGUCAGAGGCUUUGGAUCCCCUGGAGCUGGAAUUGCAGACUGUUCUGAGACACCUGGCAUGCGUGAUGGGAACCUAACUCGGGUCUUCCGGAAGAGCAGCGAGUGGACCUCCUUGCUGAGCCCUCUCUCCAGCCACAAUGGUGAAAGGUUUUUACAGCAGCCUGCAGCUAUAUUUCCCAGGCCGACCGGAAGCAUCAGUAUCACCCGAUCACUUCAGCGAAUACAUUGUACUAGACCAGUGCAUCCCUAUGACACAGAGCGACACACCAACCCACUCUAUCCUGACCUUUCUUGUAUCUGAAUCCUAUGAAGAAGAAAGGGAAGCACAAAAAGGGAACAUUGAAGCCUACGCGAUUCAGAACAAGGUUUUAUGGUGCCAUUAUUCGCUUGCCAAGAGGAGGUGCAGUUAGAGAUUCCUGGAAAUUAAGAGACUUCAGAGAAAAAGAAGAAAACGAUGUUUUCACCUACCAACUCAAGUUUACCCAGAACUGCGGAGGCUCCAGAGACUAGUAGUCUCUCAUCGCUAACACUGGAGAAGUUCAAGGUAGAACAGGAAGAGAGAGGUUUGCUGGGUCCAUUAUACAGGUAAAGAACCAGAGGCAAACAGAGUAUCUCAGAAGGAAUUGAAAAGUGAGAGCGGAAAGAUGAAUACCCUAAAAUCCAAGGAUAAAGAGGCCUGGGUUUAGAUAUUAGAUAUUUACGACAGAUUCUGAGUGGAGCAGAGUGCUGAGAGGCUAGAGAAGGAAGCUAGACCCUAGCCAGCCUGGGAAAUAAAUGCCCAGUGGAGAAGGGGUAUGAAGAUGGGAAGGAGUGAUAAAUGUCAGGGGAGACAAGCAGGAUAAGAAAUUGGAAAUGGAGUGGAGUACUCAAUAGCGGAUGGAGAGGUGAACAAGCUUCCGAAAAACCUUCAUCCAGCAACUGAUGGAAACAGAGGCAGAGACCCGCAGUAGAGC